rnacentral:rRNA from 1 species
CGCGGGAUUCCUAAAGCGUCCGUAGCAGGUUUUGUAAAUCUCUUGUGAAAUUGCCAGGCUCAACUUGGCAACGUGCAGGAGACACUGCAAGACUGGGGACCGGGAAGGGUUAGAGGUAUUCCUGAGGGAGCGGUAAAAUGCUAUAAUCUCAGGAGGACCGCCUGUGGCGAAGGCGUCUAACUAGAACGGAUCCGACUGUGAGGGACGAAAGCUAGGGGAGCAAACCGGAUUAGAUACCCGAGUAGUCCUAGCCGUAAACGCUGUGAGCUAGGUGUCGCGUAUUCUACGGGAAUGCGCGGUGUCGAAAGGAAGCUAUUAAGCUCACCGCCUGGGAAGUACGGUCGCAAGACUGAAACUUUAAGGAAUUGGCGGGGGCGCACCACAAGGGGUGCGGCGUGCGGUUUAAUCUAACUCAACACAGAGAAUCUUACUAGGAGCGACGGCAGGAUGAAGGUCAGUCUAAAGGGCUUACCCAACAAGCCGAGAGGUGGUGCAUGGCCAUCGUCAGCUCGUGCUAUGAAGUGUCCAGUUAAGUCUGGCAACGAGCGAGACCUGUAUCUGCAAUUGCUAGGGGCUCUUCGGAGGACCGAGCACAUUGCAGGGACUGCCCUGGAAACAGGGAGGAAGGUGCAGGCUACGGUAGGUCUGUAUGCCCCGAAUCUCCUAGGCUACACGCGCGCAACAAUGGUACGGACAAUGGGCUGCGACUCCGAAAGGAGGAGCUAAUCCUCUAAACCGUAUCUCAGUCCAGAUUGAGGAUUGUAACUCAUCCUCAUGACGACGGAAUCCCUAGUAAUCGGACGUCAUCAACGUCCGGUGAAUAUGUCCCUGCUCCUUGCACGAAUUCGCCGAAUCACUAGU